UAGAUUCGGGCGCUACUAGUA
rnacentral:siRNA from 1 species